GUGAGAGUGUGCGGGGGAAAGAGGCAGUUGUCAUGUGCUUCCAUAGAAGGAGAUGAAGGAGCCAAGUCUGAAAAGUUUCCUGUCCCUAGGAGUGAAACCUUACAUCAGUGAUUCCCGACUCUGCCUAUUGAUUCCCCAGGGUGUCUUGAAAUUCUUCAAAAGAAAUUAAUUGUAAUUCACUUCAAUUUUUAAAAUACACGUAUAUGCUGCAGAGCACAAUGCUUCUGGGCAGGGGUGGCCCAGGGGAGGUGGACUGGGAGUUGUAUGUGUGUCAAAGAAGCUGUCAAUCAGCCAAAGAACAAUAGGGAGCUGAAACGCCCCAAAUUUGGGGGAGUGAUUGGUCUGUGUUCACACCUGCAGGGUAGGCAGAGGCAAAAGGGGGUGGCGUUGGCUACUGAAAAGGUUGACAUAACUUGCUGGAUCACUGGGGUGACUUCAUACUCUCAACCGGAAGAUGCUUUGACCGGGGCCAUUGCUGUUAGAUGCCCAGCUCUUCCCGGAGUCUGGACAAGCAUGCUUCCUGGCCCCCAGGGGGUAUAUCAAAUCUGUGCUCCACAAUGGGUGGCAAAGCCUCAUGUUACCGUUAUUAUUUUUAAUCGGCUAAGUUAAUGAUUCAAUGCUUAACAUUUGUUUGUUGAUACCAAGAAAGUGCUGUUGGAUGGCUGCUCAGUUUCAGAACACAAUGGUGUUCGCCAUUCUGUUCCUUCCCUACCCAAAUUAGAAAUGCCAAGUUUGCUUUGUUGUGGCAUCUGGUUAAUGCAGACACAUGGAUCACUGUGUGUUCUGGUGCUCAGAACUUGAAAGGCAUGGUACUGGAUGGGAAGGAACUCAUUGACGACUGGGCCUCAAAGGAAUGUAUCAAGUGCUGCCUCUGCUUUUCUCCUCUGCCUUGCUGGGUUUGCAUGGAAAGUGGGAUUUGUGGGCAGCUGCAAGUGUGUUUGGGCUGGAGGCAAACUCCUGUGUGUUCUUAGCCUGAUUCUACACAGCACAGUAGGAAGGGGGCCAGAGAAAGUGGCUGGCAGUAGGAGAGCCUCUGUUUUGGGAAUAUGAAGCAGCCUGGGAGAGAGUGAUGGAAGAAAGGAGUGGGGGAGAGUUAGGGAAGCCUUAAUUCAUCUCAUCUGACAGAUCAGAAACAGAAGUUGCCACAUCCACUCAUUCGCAGGUUGUGUUGUCAAUGAGAUCACAGCAUUUUAGAGCCCAUGUGGACCUUGCACUCUGGCACAUGCUGUAAUUGGCUGUAAGAAUAGCACGUCUGCUUGCCGUUUCACUGGAGGACUUGAGGGAGGGGGAUUGGGUUUAGGGAAUAAGGGCACAGGUGUAGACGGCACAGGUGUGAAGGGCACAAAUGUCAGGGCACAGGUGUGAGGGCACAGUUGUGAAGGGCACAGGUAUGAAGGGC
rnacentral:lncRNA from 1 species